GUCUACGGCCAUGCUACCCUGAACAAGCCCAAUCCCAUCUGGUCUCGGAAGCUAAGCGGGGUCAGGCCUGGUUAGUACGUGGAUGGAAGACCACCUAGGAAGACCAGGUGCUGUAGGCA
rfam:Pteropus alecto contig95135, whole genome shotgun sequence.